AUUGAACGCUGGCGGCAGGCCUAACACAUGCAAGUCGAGCGGAGCGGCGGACGGGUGAGUAAUGACUAGGAAUCUGCCUGGUAGUGGGGGAUAAAGUCCGGCAACGGGCGCUAAUACCGCAUACUAUCAGAUGAGCCUAGGUCGGAUUAGCUAGUUGGUGGGGUAACGGCUCACCAAGGCGACGAUCCGUCACUGGUCUGAGAGGAUGAUCAGUCACACUGGAACUGAGACACGGUCUAGACUCCUACGGGAGGCAGCAGUGGGGAAUAUUGGACAAUGGGCGAAAGCCUGAUGCAGCCAUGCCGCGUGUGUGAAGAAGGCCUUCGGGUUGUAAAGUACUUUCAGUCGGGAGGCGUUACCGACAGAAGAAGCACCGGCUAACUCCGUGCCAGCAGCCGCGGUAAUUC
rnacentral:rRNA from 1 species